rnacentral:sRNA from 1 species
GGACUUGAGGCCCGCCUGGCUACAUCUGUCAUGCCAAUGACUGGCUUGGUCGACUUGGUCUCUGUUUGGCUGUUCCUGCCUCCCUUCCUCACCACCUCACCCACACUGCUCCUAGCUCUACCCUCAGUCAGAAAGGACACACUUUCCUCAUUACCUGUGGAUAAGGCACAGAUAGCUGUGCUCCUCUGCUAGCCUCUAAAUAUGCUCUUGAAGAUAACAGAACGUAAACGAAAGGAUACCUGAGUGACAAAAAUGCAACUGAAGAUAACUGCAGAGGCAGGCGAUCC